rnacentral:rRNA from 1 species
ACUACGGGGGGCAGCAGUAGGGAAUGUUCGUCAAUGGGCGCAAGCCUGAACGAGCGAUGCCGCGUGAGUGAAGAAGGCCUUCGGGUCGUAAAGCUCUGUUGCGGGGGAAAAAAGGCAGCAUCAGGAAAUGGGUGCUGACUGAUGGUGCCCCGCCAGAAAGGCACGGCUAACUACGUGCCAGCAGCCGCGGUAAUACGUAGGGGGCGAGCGUUAUCCGGAUUUACUGGGUGUAAAGGGAGCGUAGCCGGCUGGUCAAGUCUGAAGUGAAAGCCCGGGGCUUAACCCCGGAACGGCUUUUGCAACUGUGCAGCUAGAGUGCUGGAGAGGUAAGCGGAAUUCCUAGUGUAGCGGUGCAAUGCGUAGAUAUUAGGAGGAACACCAGUGGCGAAGGCGGCUUACUGGACAGUAACUGACGUUGCGGCUCGACAGCGUGGGGAGCAAACAGGAUUAGAUACCCCAGUAGUC